rnacentral:lncRNA from 1 species
GGCCCAGAUGCCCGACAGGGUCACCUCCUUGCCGUAGCGCACCGACUGGGCGUAGCAGAGCGGCGCGUCGAGUGCCGACGCCAGCCGCACGGGCAGCGGCUGCGUCACGACGCAUCCGUGACGCUUGGGCUUUUUCUUGUCCUCGUCCGCGUGGUCCUGCUUCUUCUUCUUGUUGCUCUUGUCGGCUCUGGCGCUGCUGGCGUGCACCGGCUUGUCGUCGCUGUUGUGGUCGUCGUCGUCCUUGUCGUCGCGGUCGCUGUCGACGAGGGCCACGUCGUCGUACUCCUUGUACUCGGUGUCAUCGUCAUCGUCGUCCUCCUUUUGGUGGUUGUCGACGAGGUACUUGGCCUUGCGGCGGCUGUGCUCCUUUUUCUUUUCGCCGUCGGCAGACUUGCGCGCGUCACGAGACAUGGUCCGUUUUUUUUCGGUGGUCGGUCAACAGCGACAGGCUCUUUUUUUCUUUGAAGAGGCGAUCCGACUGUUGGAGGAUGGCGGACAAGGGAUGGGGGGAAAGACGUCAAGACGGGAAAGAAAAGAGGACGGCUUUGCUUCAUCUGCGAC